AUUGAACGCUGGCGGCAGGCCUAACACAUGCAAGUCGAACGAGUGGCGGACGGGUGAGUAAUGUCUGGGAAACUGCCCGAUGGAGGGGGAUAACUACUGGAAACGGUAGCUAAUACCGCAUACCAUCGGAUGUGCCCAGAUGGGAUUAGCUUGUAGGUGAGGUAACGGCUCACCUAGGCGACGAUCCCUAGCUGGUCUGAGAGGAUGACCAGCUAGACUGGAACUGAGACACGGUGCAGGCUCCUACGGGAGGUAGCAGUGGGGAAUAGUGCACAAUGGGCGCGAGCCUGAUGCAGCCAUGCCGCGGGUGUGAAGAAGGUCGUCGGUUUGUAAAGCACUUUCAGUUGGGAGGCGUUACCAACAGAAUAAGCACCGGCUAACCUCGUGCCAGCAGCCGCGGUAAUUC
rnacentral:rRNA from 1 species